rnacentral:lncRNA from 1 species
UACAGAAACGUUACAAAGAACUUACUCGACAGUUUGGGUCUGAAGAUGUGCUCCGUUUUGCCCUUGAAUCACAAGAUCAAUCUUUUGAAUCAUCACUGGUAGAAACGCUAACAAAAGAGAUAACAAAGACUUGUAGCCAAACCAGCAUACCAGCUUCUACACAUCUCCCUCCAAUUCAACCUACAGUUGGACAAGACCAAGGAAAGGAAAAGACCAGGAACAAAAUGUUUCCAGUUUGGCUCAAGAUGCCAACAAUCAAAUCGAAGAAACCAAAGAGAGGAUCACAGAGUCUCCUUGUAAGCCAGGCCUUUCCUGUUGCAAACACUAGUAAGUUUAUGGUGAUAUUUGAAGCAACACUUCAACUAGAUCUAACUAUUUUCAUGUUUUUGCCUGCUAUAAAUUAUCCGUUUGGAUGAGGAGGAUAAAUCAUUCCCUAUUUUGUCACAGAGCUCAGUGAGAAGCUGGCUGAGGUCACCAAGGCUCCUGUAUCUGCUGGCCCACUGGAGAUAGAGACCGUAGGGUGCUGUUUCUUCAGGAUGCCGAAAUUCAAGUUCUCCUUCAAGGUGGAGUUCAGUUUCUAUACGAGAUGUUAUUGUAAUUUUAGACAUUAUGUGUACUAAUGCUGAUCAGAGAGGCUACUGAGUGAAGAACACAUUGGUGUAACAUGAUCUGUGAGUAUGCAGUUUAGAUAUUUCUUUAUUCAUUACAAUUUGAAUCUGAAAUAAUUUAAUCUCUCUCUUACUUUAUCAGAAAAUUAUGAAAGGUGUGAAAAUUGGGCAUUGUGACAAUGAUAAGUCCUUUGAAGAGAACAUCAAUGUCUGAGGUAAGUGAAACUGAAAGUCUGAACACAUAAAAAUACAUUUAUUCACUGUAACAUUGAGUAUUCACUAAGUAGACGUACUUGGAAAGUGUUGUUUUCAGCCUGUGCAACAUCUUGUCAGACUCGGCUCAAUGAGGCUACUGCUGAACUGACUGCUUCUGAAAGCCAAACUAAACUGGAAGAGACUGCAUCUAGGCUGACCAACACAUCUACUCCAGAGAUGGGACUGUCUCGCCUAGCUGUUUAAGUCACCAACACAGCUCAAUGAUCCUUUGGAUCAUCGGAUCCUCUAAGAACUCUUCGGUCCUUUCAACUACAUUUUUUUGAACCCCUAUCUGGCUAUUUUAAUUAAACUUAUUAUUGCAUGCAUAUUGGUGUAACUUUGCCAUUUGUUGGGUACUAUGAGGAUGACUACAUACAGUUGCGCUUGAAAGUUUGUGAAUCUGUUAGAGGUUCUUGAAAGUUCUUGAACAACAGCUUUUAAUUGAUUUUAAAUCUCAUAUUAAAAUAUGAAAUCAUAUGAAUCUAACUGUGCUUAAUUGUAAGAUAUGUCACAGGCUUGAAGCUGAAAGGUUAGCUUUGCAUUGUGUUUUGAU